rnacentral:misc_RNA from 1 species
GAUGAAGAACGCAGCGAAAUGCGAUAAGUAAUGUGAAUUGCAGAAUUCAGUGAAUCAUCGAAUCUUUGAACGCACAUUGCGCCCGCCAGCAUUCUGGCGGGCAUGCCUGUUCGAGCGUCAUUUCAACCCUCGAGCCCCCCCCGGGGGCCUCGGUGUUGGGGGACGGCACACCAGCCGCCCCCGAAAUGCAGUGGCGACCCCGCCGCAGCCUCCCCUGCGUAGUAGCACACACCUCGCACCGGAGCGCGGAGGCGGUCACGCCGUAAAACGCCCAACUUCCUUAGAGUUGACCUCGGAUCAGGUAGGAAUACCCGCUGAACUUAAGCAUAUCAAUAAGCGGAGGA